UGCAAUCUCCACGAAAAAUCCCGUGUACUUCCUCAGUGUGCCGCCAUUCCCCAUCUCUCCUCCACCGGAAACCCUGCUGUAUCGCAAACUUCGCUUUUAUGUUCCCGGAGGCAGUCGAUUUUCAACAGGACUUCAUCGGUGUGUUGAGUUGGGUCGUCAUGGCCGCCUGAACCAGACUAAAUUCACCCAGUGCGUGGUUCUCAUUCUGUAAUUUACAUACAAUCGAAAGUUUUUUUUGCGGAUUAACUUCAAUAUUUGUUAGGGGGGAAAACAUCCAUGUAAAAACUCUAACAUGCAGCCUCCGCCAAGAAAGGUCAAGGUUACCCAGGAGCUAAAGCAUACUCAUGCUGAGCAGAUGAGCAGACUCCACAUCAAACACCAGACAGAGUGUGACCUACUAGAGGACCUGAAGACAUUCAGUCAGAAGAAAGCCGCUGUAGAGAGGGACUAUGCUCAGGCUCUACACAAGCUUGCCAAUCAGUACCUGAAGAGGGAAUGGCCGGACAGCCUAUCAGAGGAGCCAACAGACCACGGGAACAUGUACACGUUGUGGAAGGCAUACCUGGAGGGCAUAGUGCAUGUGAGCCAAACCAGGAUCACGGCCUGUGAGAACUACAGGAACCAAGUGUCGGACCCUGCCAAGACUGCCAGGCUGCAGAAGGAGCAGCAGCUCCGGAAGUGUAUUGACCAGCUGAUGCUGGUGCAGGCAGAGCUGCAGGACUCGGUGAAGGAGCUGGCUAAGACCAGGAAGAAGUAUCAGGAGACAGAGACCAUGGCCCAGGCCGUCAGGGACAAGGCCGAGCAGGACGCCAAGUCCAAACUGAGUCUCUUCCAAUCCAGGUCCAGUCUGCAGAGGGCAAGUGUAAAGCUGAAAGCCAAGAGGAGUGAGUGUAACUCCAAAGCCACCCAUGCCAGGAACGACUAUCUCCUCACGCUAGCUGCGGCUAACGCUCACCAGCAGCGCUAUUACAACACUGACCUGAUCGACUGCAUUAAGGUCCUGGAUGGGAGCAUCUAUGAGCAGGUGAAGGACUACCUGGUCUCUCUGUGCCAGAUGGAGCUUGAGUCCUAUCAGGCUGUUCACAACACUUUCAACAUCCUCCUGGAGAACUCCAAUGGGAUGAUGCAGGACUUUCACCAGCAGCAGUUUGUACAGCAGAACCAAGUGUUCCACAGUACCCCAGCCAUCCUCUUCCAGCCCAUCAACACUGACACGGUGGGGCAGUUGCAGAAGGAGAGUGGCACAGUGGAGGAGCACAGUCUGGAUAAGGAGGCACGGAGGUGGGCGACCCGAGUGGCACGAGAACACAAGAGCAUCAUCCACAGUCAGAGGGCCCUGGAGGACUAUGGGACCCAACAGGGGCUUUCGGAGCAGAACCGCAGCGAGCUAGAGCUCAAGAUGGAGGAGGCCAGGGAGAACCUGCGGAGAGCAGAGACCGUGAAGCUGAAGGCAGAUGCUCGUCUGGCUCUACUGAGAGAGGCAGGCAUCACAGUGGAGACGUGGCUGAAGAGCGCCAUGAACCAGGUGAUGGAGGAGCUGGAGAAUGAGCGGUGGGCCAACCUCAAUGCCCAUGAUCUUUCACUCUCCGGUACAGGUGACCUAGAGAGGGAGGAGGAUGAAGAUAGUGGAGAGGUGUUGGACGACAGCAGCUCCAGCCCCUCCAGUACCCUCAGGAACUACCCCCUCACCUGCAAAGUGCUCUACUCAUACAAGGCGUCUCAGCCAGACGAGUUGACCAUCGAGGAACAGGAGGUGCUGGAGGUUAUCGAUGAUGGGGACAUGGAGGACUGGGUCAAGGCCAGGAACCAGACAGGCCAGGUGGGCUAUGUCCCGGAGAAGUACCUGCAGCUGCCCUCAUCCAACAGCCUAAUGAGCAUGCUCCAGUCUCUGGCCGCCCUGGACGCUCGCUCCCACUCCUCCAGUAACUCUACCGAGCCCGAGCUGGCCGAGUCAGAGCUGCACACGCCAGGCACACCUAUCGUCAACGGAGACUCCAGCGGUGUGUGCUUCGCCAAGGCCCUGUACGACUACGCGGGCCAGACAGGUGAGGAGCUCUCGUUCCCUGAGGGUGCCAUCAUCCGUGUGCUGAGCCGCGAGACCUACGAGGAUGACGGUUUCUGGGAGGGCGAGUUCAAUGGCACCGUGGGUGUCUUCCCUGCUGUGCUUGUGGAGGACCUUCUGGCAGCGGGUGGUGCCAGUGGAGACAGCGAGAAUGACGACGUCUCGGGAGAGGCCAGCAGCAAUCCGCAGGCGUCCCCCGCUCCUCUUUCCGAGUGCUCUCCACAGAGUCCCUUCCUUCUGGGCCCGUUCCAUAGCAGCCCCUGUCAGAGCAGCCCCCUCCUGACCCCCACUCUGCCCUCGCCCCAGUCCAGCCCCUCCAGUGCCAGCGCCUCCCCCAUACCCCGCCCCCCCUCCAUCAACGGUCACCAUAGGCCACCGCCCGCACCACUCAAAGGCCACUUGCAAAGUCCUGCCCAGAACUCCACCCAGCCCCCAAGGUACCCAACAGAUGGUGGUGCGGGGGGCACCAUUCGACCUGUCCGCGCUGCACCGCUGCCCCCCAAGCCGCAGCAGCCUCGUGGCCAGGUGAAGAAGAGGGAGGAAGUGGAGAUCACGCUGGUGUAACACCGCUGCUGAGAUCAGACCUGGUGGAUCCAGGUCCCUGACCGCUUCUUUUUCUCUCUCUGGCUAGCUCCCUCGCCUUCAUAACUGGCCAUUGAGCAAAGGGGGGGGGGGGGCUUGCCUUGUUGUUCGAGCAAGAUAUCGCCAUUGGAUUACUAUUCAACAAAGUGUUACUAAUUUUGUGAGAGGAUUGUACAUCUGUCACAAUGUUUUUUUUUAAAACACAGCUAAAUUCCAAGCCAGAUCUGUUUGGUUCUUGGUAGAUUGUGUUAAUGUUGUCUCCGCACAUUUCAGGGAAAUUGACAACACGGUAGAGGCGGGUAUCACUCCUGUACCUGAAAUACGUCUUUAAAAAGUGUUUCCAACAUUUCAUAAACAAGGGAAAAGUGGCAAUUUUGGAGGGGUGUGAUUGUUUAAGAUAGGAAUAGCCCCAUUGAGGGCAAAAUCUGGGUCACACUGUGAAACUAGAACAAAACUGCCCCUGACAUGUAAAUUUACUACUCUUCUAAAUGUAUUUGUACAACUUCCUUGUGUUAACUUGGGACAUUUCAAGAUUGCCAGGGGCAGUCUAUAGUGUAUGUAUGAGUAAAUGUAGACUAUUUUUGUGCUACUUUUUGUUGUAAAAACAAAGAUCUAACUAUGUUGUCAUCAAUACUAAUCUAGGCGUAAACUAGCCAAUAAUGGUUGCUGGUGAGAAUAGUUUUUUCAGUCAGGAAUGCAGACUGGGUCACAGUUCAAGACGGAAAGCAUUGCAAGGUGAUUUGCAGUUGUGCAGUGCGUCCCUGGGUCAGACCAUGAGUCAGACGUGCCUUAAAGUUCCCGGAAGAGAAUCUCCAUAGUUCUUAAUUCCCCACAGGAAGUGUGAACUGACUGAAAUACUGAAGCACUUUUUUGAUAUUCUGUUAUGCUCUUUUCAGUAUUGCUGCUUGGUCUCUCUCGUGGUUGCUGCAUUGUUUGUCUACUUUUUUUUUUUUGCUCCAUCUAUAUCGAUGUCACAGACACGAAGUCAACAUUGGCUAUAAACUUUCACUCAACGUCAACAAAACAAAGGAGAUGAUUGUGGACUUAAGGAAACAACAGAGCGAGCACCCCGCUAUCCACAUCUAUGGGACAGCAGUGGAGAAGGUGGCAUGGACCAUUCACACAGUUCAGUCACUCAGCCCUAUCCAUUGGACAUGAUAUUCUCAAGGUCACUACCGUCUCCUACAACACCCUGGUGCGAAGCAAUAUGCCUGGCCCCAUGGCUGUAAAUCAGCAUAUCUCUGAUAAAUGUUAACAGGAACAUCUACAUAAGUAUUCAGAUACUUAACUCAGUACUUUGUUGAUGUACCUUUGGCAGCGAUUACAUCCUCGCUACAAGCUUGGCACACCUGUAUUUGAGAAGUUUCUCCCAUUCUUCUCUGCAGAUCCUCUCAAGCUCUGUCAUGUUAGAUGAGGAGCGUUUCUGCACAGCUAUUUUCAGGUCUCUCCAGAGAUGUUCAAUCAGGUUCAAGUCCAGGCUCUGGCUGGGCCACUCAAGGACAUUCAGAGACUUGUCUCGAAGCCACUCCUGCUGUGUGCUUAGGGUCGUGGUCCUGUUGGAAGGUGAACCUUCAGCCCAGUCUGAGGUCCUGAGCGCUCUGGAGCAGGUUUAUAUCAAGGAUCUCUCUAUACUUUGCUCCGUUCAUCUUUCUCUCGAUCCUGACUAGUCUCCCAGUCCCUGCCAUUGAAAAACAUCCCCACAGCAUGAUGCUGCCACCACCAUGCUUCACCGUAAGGAUGGUGCCAGGUUUCCUCCAGACAUUACGUGAUGCUUGGCAUUUAGGCCAAAUAGUUCAAUCUUGGUUUCAUCAGACCAGAUAAUCUUGUUUCUCACGGUCUGUCUUUCGGUGCUUUUUGGCAAACUCCAAGCGGGCUGUCGUGUUUUUACUGAGGAGUGGCUUCCGUCUGGCCACUCUACCAUAAAGGCCUGAAUGGUGGAGUGCUGCAGAGAUGGUUGUCCUUCUGGAAUCCCAUCUCCACAGAGGAACUCUAGAGCUCUGUCAGAUUGACCAUCGGGCUCUCGGUCACCUCCCUGACCAAGACCCUUCUCCCCGGAUUGCUCAGUUUGUCUGGACGGCCAGCUCUAGGAAGAGUCUUGGUGGUUCCAAACUUCUUCCAUUUAAGAUUGAUGGAGGCCACUGUGUUCAUGGGGACAUUCAAUGCUGCAGAAAUGUUUUGGUAUCCCUUUCCCGGAUCUGUGCCUCGACACAAUCCUGUCUCGGUGCUCUACGGACAAUUCCUUCCACUUCAUGGCUUGGUUUUUGCUUUUCCAAGUAAUGUCCAAUCAAUUGAAUUGACUCCAAUCAAGUUGUAGAAACAUCUCAAGGAUGAUCAAUGGAAACAGAAUGCACCUGAGCUCAAUUUCAAGUCUCAUAGCAAAGGGUCUGAAUACUUAUGUAAAUAAGGUAUCUUUUUUUGAGAGAGAGAGAUUUGGAACAUUUUCAACAAAUGUGUUUUCUCUUUGUCAUUAUGGGGUAUUGUGUGUAGAUUGAUGAGAAAUGUUUUAAUUGAAUCAAUUUUAGAAUAAGCCUGUAACAUAAAAUGUGGAACAAAUCAGGGAUCUGAAUACUUUCCUACUGCACUGUAUAGAUGACUCUUAGACAGUUUCAAAUUGUUUGCCUGUGAAUGAUUGUCCACAUCAAGUUAUUUACGUGUUAACUUUGUUCUAAUACUGAGUCCCUCUCAUAGAAUUUGCAUGAUCCCUUAACUGCCACAUGCUCUUUCUCUCUACAGGAUACAUUAGGGGAGUUACUUUGCUGUUGGCACCCCCUCAUUCUAAAUUUUGCUCACUCUUGUUCAACUGCUCUUUGAUUAAACUAGUUUAAUUCAAUGUUUAAAUUUGCUUCAAGUGAGUUUUUUACGUAACGUUGACAGAUGGCACUUGUAUGGAGGGAUGUGGGGGGAGAGUGGAUAGAUGGCUGUAAAUGGGUUUGGUUGAAGAAACCCCCUUUCCCCUUCUCUUGAUGAGUAAUAAAAGUACAUGUAAUUGCA